rnacentral:rRNA from 1 species
UACGGAGGGGGCUAGUGUUGUUCGGAAUUACUGGGUUUAAAGGGUGCGUAGGCGGCUAAGUAAGUCAGGAGUGAAAGUUUGCGGCUCAACCGUAAAAUUGCUUUUGAUACUGCAUAGCUAGAAUUAGGAUGAGGUCAGCGGAAUGUGGCAUGUAGCGGUGAAAUGCAUAGAUAUGCCAUAGAACACCAAUUGCGAAGGCAGCUGGCUAGACCUGGAUUGACGCUGAGGCACGAAAGCGUGGGGAGCGAACAGG